rnacentral:rRNA from 1 species
GUCCACGCCCUAAACGAUGUCAACUAGGUGUCGGGAGCGCAAGUUCUUGGUACCGCAGCUAACGCGUGAAGUUGACCGCCUGGGGAGUACGGUCGCAAGAUUAAAACUCAAAGGAAUUGACGGGGACCCGCACAAGCGGUGGAUGAUGUGGAUUAAUUCGAUGCAACGCGAACAACCUUACCUACCCUUGACAUGUCCAGGAGGCCGCUGAAAGGCGGCUGUGCCCGAAAGGGAAUUGGAACACAGGUGCUGCAUGGCUGUCGU